rnacentral:rRNA from 1 species
UACAGAGGUCUCAAGCGUUGUUCGGAUUCAUUGGGCGUAAAGGGUGCGUAGGCGGCGCGGUAAGUCGGGUGUGAAAUCUUGGAGCUUAACUCCGAAACUGCAUUCGAUACUGCCGUGCUUGAGGACUGGAGAGGAGACUGGAAUUUACGGUGUAGCGGUGAAAUGCGUAGAUAUCGUAAGGAAGACCAGUGGCGAAGGCGGGUCUCU